CCUUAUUCUCUUUCUUACUUCUCCUUCCUCUCUGUUCCUCUUCUCCCUUUCUCUGUCGAUCUCAGAGAUUUUUAUGCGUGAGAUGUUCAUAGAUAGUUAGUUAGCUUGACGAAUCGAAGAGAAUGGAGUUAGAACUGAAGUUGUUUGAACUCCAUGAAAAGAAGAAGAUGAUGUAGAUGUUGAAUUGAGGUUACGGUUUCUGGAGUUAGGGUUCUUGUAGAACCGAUGAUGGUAAAGUGACGUUCAUGGAUGAAGGAUUGAAGGGUUAUCACCGAAAUGAUGAAGUGAAGUUGUUCUGAAAGUGAAUCGAUUAAAGUUUUCAGAAGAGAUGGCGCGCAUGAAGAUAUUCGUUUCGUAGUACGAAGAUUUAGCAGAUUAAGAACGUUUAUGAAUCUUUUAUAUAUAUUUAUUCUUUAUUUACUCUGUAAAACUACACAUUAAUAUAUUCAUAUCACAAGAGAGUUCUUCGUUUAUACAA